AAGAGCUCAGAUUUGAAAUCGUGCUUUGCGGCACGAGUUGUAGAUUGCAGGUUGGAGUCUGUGUGGAAGGCGGUGUCCAAGUCCCUUGGAACAGGGCGCCCAGGAGGGUGAGAGCCCCGUGGGAUGCCGGCGGAAGCAGUGAGGCCCUUCUGACGAGUCGAGUUGUUUGGGAAUGCAGCUCCAAGCGGGUGGUAAAUUCCAUCUAAGGCUAAAUACUGGCGAGAGACCGAUAGCGAACAAGUACUGUGAAGGAAAGAUGAAAAGCACUUUGAAAAGAGAGUGAAACAGCACGUGAAAUUGUUGAAAGGGAAGGGUAUUGCGCCCGACAUGGGGAUUGCGCACCGCUGCCUCUCGUGGGCGGCGCUCUGGGCUUUCCCUGGGCCAGCAUCGGUUCUUGCUGUAGGAGAAGGGGUUCUGGAACGUGGCUCUUCGGAGUGUUAUAGCCAGGGCCAGAUGCUGCGUGCGGGGACCGAGGACUGCGGCCGUGUAGGUCACGGAUGCUGGCAGAANGGCGCAACACCGCCCGUCUUGAAACACGGACC
rnacentral:rRNA from 1 species